ACAUGAUUACAACAUAGCGUUAAUGCACCAAAUCCCAUUAGAACUCCAUAGUUAAGAGCACUUGAGCUAGAGUAGCACUGGGAUGGGUGACCACCUGAGAAGACUUAGUGUUUUACAUGCC
rnacentral:rRNA from 1 species